UCCCUGGUGGCUCAGACGGUAAAGCGUCUGCCUACAAUGCAGGAGACCCAGGUUCGAUCCCUGGGUUGGGAA
rnacentral:tRNA from 1 species